CAGGAUGAACGCUGGCGGCGUGCCUAAUACAUGCAAGUCGAGCGAACGGACGAGAAGCUUGCUUCUCUGAUGUUAGCGGCGGACGGGUGAGUAACACGUGGAUAACCUACCUAUAAGACUGGGAUAACUUCGGGAAACCGGAGCUAAUACCGGAUAAUAUUUUGAACCGCAUGGUUCAAAAGUGAAAGACGGUCUUGCUGUCACUUAUAGAUGGAUCCGCGCUGCAUUAGCUAGUUGGUAAGGUAACGGCUUACCAAGGCAACGAUGCAUAGCCGACCUGAGAGGGUGAUCGGCCACACUGGAACUGAGACACGGUCCAGACUCCUACGGGAGGCAGCAGUAGGGAAUCUUCCGCAAUGGGCGAAAGCCUGACGGAGCAACGCCGCGUGAGUGAUGAAGGUCUUCGGAUCGUAAAACUCUGUUAUUAGGGAAGAACAUAUGUGUAAGUAACUGUGCACAUCUUGACGGUACCUAAUCAGAAAGCCACGGCUAACUACGUGCCAGCAGCCGCGGUAAUACGUAGGUGGCAAGCGUUAUCCGGAAUUAUUGGGCGUAAAGCGCGCGUAGGCGGUUUUUUAAGUCUGAUGUGAAAGCCCACGGCUCAACCGUGGAGGGUCAUUGGAAACUGGAAAACUUGAGUGCAGAAGAGGAAAGUGGAAUUCCAUGUGUAGCGGUGAAAUGCGCAGAGAUAUGGAGGAACACCAGUGGCGAAGGCGACUUUCUGGUCUGUAACUGACGCUGAUGUGCGAAAGCGUGGGGAUCAAACAGGAUUAGAUACCCUGGUAGUCCACGCCGUAAACGAUGAGUGCUAAGUGUUAGGGGGUUUCCGCCCCUUAGUGCUGCAGCUAACGCAUUAAGCACUCCGCCUGGGGAGUACGACCGCAAGGUUGAAACUCAAAGGAAUUGACGGGGACCCGCACAAGCGGUGGAGCAUGUGGUUUAAUUCGAAGCAACGCGAAGAACCUUACCAAAUCUUGACAUCCUUUGACAACUCUAGAGAUAGAGCUUUCCCCUUCGGGGGACAAAGUGACAGGUGGUGCAUGGUUGUCGUCAGCUCGUGUCGUGAGAUGUUGGGUUAAGUCCCGCAACGAGCGCAACCCUUAAGCUUAGUUGCCAUCAUUAAGUUGGGCACUCUAAGUUGACUGCCGGUGACAAACCGGAGGAAGGUGGGGAUGACGUCAAAUCAUCAUGCCCCUUAUGAUUUGGGCUACACACGUGCUACAAUGGACAAUACAAAGGGCAGCGAAACCGCGAGGUCAAGCAAAUCCCAUAAAGUUGUUCUCAGUUCGGAUUGUAGUCUGCAACUCGACUACAUGAAGCUGGAAUCGCUAGUAAUCGUAGAUCAGCAUGCUACGGUGAAUACGUUCCCGGGUCUUGUACACACCGCCCGUCACACCACGAGAGUUUGUAACACCCGAAGCCGGUGGAGUAACCUUUUAGGAGCUAGCCGUCGAAGGUGGGACAAAUGAUUGGGGUGAAGUCGU
rnacentral:rRNA from 1 species